CACACAUAAUCAAACAACCAUUUUGUAGCGAUACGCCCAAUUAUCAAUUCAAAAAAAAAAACAAAUCUUCAAUUUAUUUUCAAAAACAAAAAAACCCUUACACAAAGCGAAAAAACAAACCAUUUUUUUUGUGUGGCGUCCAAAAACAUUUGAAAUAAAAUCAAAUUUUCUUUUUUAUUAUACUGCAAAAAAUAUUUAUGAAAUAAAAAGGGAAAUUUCAAUUUUUCCACAUUUUACUUUUCUCAUGAAAGAAAAAAAAAAGGCUGUUUCUAUUUCGCCCGCUCGGGCGAACUAAUUCAUUUCUGUUAUUUCGCCCGUCGCGGGCGAAAUAGAUACGACUGUGUGAACUGGCUAUUUCGCCCGUCGAAAUGAAUGUGUUUUAGAAGACGGGCAAAAUAAGAAAAAUAGAUUAUUUCGCCCGUUCAAGAUAAAAUCGAGUAUCUGGAAGACGGGCGAGUAUAUUAUUUCGUCCGUGAAAUGUUUAAACAAAAACGGGCGAAAUAAUCAAAAUACAAUAUUUAGCCCGCUAGGUAUAAACAGCUGUUGUAUAUUUCAAUUUACAAACUAAAAUUAUUUUAACUUUUAUUUUGCAAUUCAUGUUAAAUAUCAUAUAUUUGAUAAACAAAUUUGAUGGUCUCAUUAAUUUUUUGUGUUUCGAUAAAAAAAAGGGGUUUUUCUGAUUUCUUUCUCAGCAGAAUCAUGGUUUUAUAUAUCAAUGUGAGAUUAUACUCCGUAUAGUAUAUUCUUUAAAUAUUGAAAACGACGGUGCGUUGUUUGAAAAUCUAUUUGGUAUCGAAAGUAGUUCAUAUGACAUUCUUUAUUUUGAUUGUCUUCAAUUUUAUUUACUCGUUGAAUUUAGAGAUGCAAAUAUACAAAAAUUUCAGAAAUA